rnacentral:rRNA from 1 species
GACGAACCCGUGCGAACGUUAUUCGGAUUCACUGGGCUUAAAGCGCGUGUAGGCGGGCCGAUACGUCCGUGGCUGAAAGCCCCCGGCUCAACCGGGGAAGUGGCCCGGAUACGGUCGGCCUGGAGGGGCAUAGGGGGAGCUGGAACUUCCGGUGGAGCGGUGAAAUGCGUUGAGAUCGGAAGGAACGCCCGUGGCGAAAGCGAGCUCCUGGAUGUCUUCUGACGCUGAGACGCGAAAGCCAGGGGAGCGAACGGGAUUAGAAACCCUUGUAGU